rnacentral:lncRNA from 1 species
GGAGGUUGCGCUCCUCGACGGUGAGCUCGGUGCCGUCUGCGGCGGCGGAGAGCUUCUCCAUGAAUUCGACCAUCUCUUCGUACCUCUCGGCUUGCUCGGAGAGCUUGGCCAUGUAUACGUAGUCCUCGCGCGAUGAAACUGCCAUUGUGAUAUCGCAGAUCGGAGAGUUUGUUUGUUAGUUUGUUUGAUUCGGUUUAUCUCUCUCUGUGUAGGUUAAAAGAGAGGAGAAGAAGGAGGAGGCGAAAGGAGUGGGGAGCGACAAACUGCGUUUUGAUGAUGAAAAGCGAGAGAGAGAGAUAAAAGAUGGAAUCUG